rnacentral:rRNA from 1 species
UACGUAGGGUGCGAGCGUUGUCCGGAAUUAUUGGGCGUAAAGAGCUCGUAGGCGGUGUGUCGCGUCGGCCGUGAAAACCUGGGGCUUAACUCUGGGCGUGCGGUCGAUACGGGCAUCACUAGAGGCAUGCAGGGGAGAACGGAAUUCCUGGUGUAGCGGUGAAAUGCGCAGAUAUCAGGAGGAACACCGGUGGCGAAGGCGGGUCUCUGGGCAGUAACUGACGCUGAGGAGCGAAAGCGUGGGGAGCGAACAGG